GACGAACGCUGGCGGCGUGCUUAACACAUGCAAGUCGAACGGUAAGGCUCCAGCUUGCUGGGGUACACGAGUGGCGAACGGGUGAGUAACACGUGGGUGACCUGCCCUGCACUUCGGGAUAAGCCUGGGAAACUGGGUCUAAUACCGGAUAGGACCGCACCGUGAGGGUGUGGUGGAAGGUUUUUUCGGUGUGGGAUGGGCCCGCGGCCUAUCAGCUUGUUGGUGGGGUAACGGCCUACCAAGGCGGCGACGGGUAGCCGGCCUGAGAGGGUGGACGGCCACAUUGGGACUGAGACACGGCCCAGACUCCUACGGGAGGCAGCAGUGGGGAAUAUUGCACAAUGGGCGGAAGCCUGAUGCAGCGACGCCGCGUGGGGGAUGACGGCCUUCGGGUUGUAAACUCCUUUCACCAUCGACGAAGGGUUUCUGACGGUAGAUGGAGAAGAAGCACCGGCUAACUACGUGCCAGCAGCCGCGGUAAUACGUAGGGUGCGAGCGUUGUCCGGAAUUACUGGGCGUAAAGAGCUCGUAGGUGGUUUGUCGCGUCGUCUGUGAAAUUCCGGGGCUUAACUCCGGGCGUGCAGGCGAUACGGGCAUAACUUGAGUACUGUAGGGGAGACUGGAAUUCCUGGUGUAGCGGUGAAAUGCGCAGAUAUCAGGAGGAACACCGGUGGCGAAGGCGGGUCUCUGGGCAGUAACUGACGCUGAGGAGCGAAAGCAUGGGGAGCGAACAGGAUUAGAUACCCUGGUAGUCCAUGCCGUAAACGGUGGGCGCUAGGUGUGGGUUUCCUUCCACGGGAUCCGUGCCGUAGCUAACGCAUUAAGCGCCCCGCCUGGGGAGUACGGCCGCAAGGCUAAAACUCAAAGGAAUUGACGGGGGCCCGCACAAGCGGCGGAGCAUGUGGAUUAAUUCGAUGCAACGCGAAGAACCUUACCUGGGCUUGACAUAUACAGGAUCGCGCCAGAGAUGGUGUUUCCCUUGUGGCUUGUAUACAGGUGGUGCAUGGUUGUCGUCAGCUCGUGUCGUGAGAUGUUGGGUUAAGUCCCGCAACGAGCGCAACCCUUGUCUUAUGUUGCCAGCACGUUGUGGUGGGGACUCGUAAGAAACUGCCGGGGUUAACUCGGAGGAAGGUGGGGAUGACGUCAAAUCAUCAUGCCCCUUAUGUCCAGGGCUUCACACAUGCUACAAUGGUCGGUACAGUGGGUUGCCAGUCCGUGAGGGCGAGCUAAUCCCGCAAAGCCGGUCUCAGUUCGGAUCGGGGUCUGCAACUCGACCCCGUGAAGUCGGAGUCGCUAGUAAUCGCAGAUCAGCAACGCUGCGGUGAAUACGUUCCCGGGCCU
rnacentral:rRNA from 1 species